rnacentral:tRNA from 1 species
UGGCUCAGACGGUAAAGCAUCUGCCUGCAAUGCGGAAGACCCGGGUUCGAUUCCUGG